rnacentral:lncRNA from 1 species
UAUAUAUAUAUAUAUAUAUAUAUAUAUAAAUUAAAAGUAAUUUACAUGUUUAACAUAUAAUUAAAAACUUUUAGAAUUUUAUUUUAUAUUAUAUAUAUAUAAUAAAAAUGAAUAGCAAAGUUUUAAAUCAGUUUAGUUACAUGUACUAAUUUUGUGAUAAUGUAAUUUUUUUAAUUUUUUUUUUUGUUUUUAUUUAAUUUAACUUUUUAUUUCAUUUAUAAUAUUAUAUCUUAUAAUUAAUUUCUAAAUAUAUGCUAGAACAUAAUAAAAUAGUGGGUAUAAACAAGAAUUGGUAAUGUAGUAAACUAUGUUUUUAAACCCAAAUCAAUAACAGUAACAAUAAAAAAAAAUUAAUAAGCAAAAAACAAUUUUAAUUAUAGUUUAUUGUUUUGUUUGUUUAAAAAUGCAAUUUAUAUUAAAGUUCGUACUAUUCCUGGCCCUUUCCAGUUUCCUAUGUGUUUGCAAUGCACAAAAAUUCUAUUUAAGUAGUAAUUAUGGUAGAAGUUAUAGUGCGAAUGGAAAUAGUAUUUAUAACAAUACGAAUUUCCUAAAAAAAGAUUAUCCUGAAGGAUGUACAAGAAAAAAUGAACAGGAUAUAAUAAACGGAGCAAAACUUUCUAAAAAUGACGAUAAAAAAAUAGAAGGAGAUAACUUAAAAGAAAAUGAUGAUAACGGUCAAAAAAAUAUGGAAAACCCAUUAUACAGUGUUUUACUUCUUUUAUUGGAUGUAGUUUUAUAAACUGUAAUAAACAAUGUACAAGAGAACA